GCAAGUCGAACGAUCCUUCGGGAUAGUGGCAGACGGGUGAGUAACACGUGGGAACCUUCCCUUCGGUACGGAAUAGCUCCGGGAAACUGGAAUUAAUACCGUAUACGCCCUUUUGGGGGAAAGAUUUAUCGCCGAAGGAUGGGCCCGCGUCGGAUUAGCUAGUUGGUGAGGUAACGGCUCACCAAGACAACGAUCCGUAGGUGGUCUGAGAGGAUGAUC
rnacentral:rRNA from 1 species